GUCUUUUUGAUAAAUAAUUUAAAGUCUAAUCUGCCCCCUGAAAUUAUUUUAAAGGGCUGCGGUAUCCUAACCGUACAAAGGUAGCAUAAUAAUUAGGUUUUUAAUUGAAAUCUUGAAUGAAUGAUUGGACGAGAUAUGAGCUGUUUUAAAAUAUAAAUUUGAAUUUAAUUUUUUAGUUAAAAAGCUAAAAUAUUUUUAAAAGACGAGAAGACCCUAUAAAUCUUUAUAAUUUAUUUAUUUUAAUUAAUUAUUUUAAUAAAAUUAAUUUAAAUAAUAAAAUUAUUUUAUUGGGGUGAUAUAAAAAUUUUUUAAACUUUUUAUAAUUAUAAUACUAUAAUUAAAGAUUUAUAAAAUAUAUGAUCUAUUAAUAAUAAUUAAAAGAAAAAGAUACUUUAGGGAUAACAGCGUAAUUUUAAUAUUAAGUUCAUAUUAUUAUUAAAGAUUGCGACCUCGAUGUUGGAUUAAAAUUUAAUUUAAAUGCAAAAGUUUAAAAAUUAAGUCUGUUCGACUUUUAAAAUUUU
rnacentral:rRNA from 1 species